GCUGGGGUAGCCAAGCUCGGUCCACGGCGGCGGUCUCGAAAACCGCUGGUGACAACACCUCAGGAGUUCAAAUCUCCUCCCCAGCG
rnacentral:tRNA from 2 species